rnacentral:rRNA from 1 species
CCUUGCCAGCCCGCUCAGAAACUCAAAUGAAUUGACGGGGGCCCGCACAAGCGGUGGAGUAUGUGGUUUAAUUCGAUGCAACGCGAAGAACCUUACCUGGUCUUGACAUCCCGGAGACCCUUAGGAAACUAGGGGGUGCUUCCAUCUGGAAGAAUCUGGAGACAGGUGCUGCAUGGCUGUCGUCAGCUCGUGUCGUGAGAUGUUGGGUUAAGUCCCGCAACGAGCGCAACCCUUGCCUUUAGUUGCCAGCAGUUCGGCUGGGCACUCUAAAGGGACUGCCGGUGUUAAACCGGAGGAAGGUGGGGAUGACGUCAAGUCCUCAUGGCCUUUAUGACCAGGGCUACACACGUACUACAAUGGCCGAUACAAAGGGCAGCGACACUGCGAGGUGAAGCCAAUCCCGUAAAAUCGGUCUCAGUCCGGAUUGGAGUCUGCAACUCGACUCCAUGAAGUUGGAAUCGCUAGUAAUCGUGGAUCAGCAUGCCACGGUGAAUACGUUCCCGGGCCUU